AGUCGUACCUCAUUUACCGUCAGAGGUCAAAUUAUGGGUCGAAGAAGCGUUGAAGAUGGAGAGGGAAGUUGAGGCAACGACUGUCGGCCUUGCCAGUAAAGAAGGGAAGACCAAUGAUUUUGAGCUAAUAUUUGAUUUUCGUUUGAUGAUGCAUGCAUAGAUAUAUUGUCAGAUUUACCUGAUGAGGGUUUAUGCUUGAAGUGUGCGACUAUACUUCCAUUGGAAGGAAUCAGAGUAGAGCCACACCCUCCUCCACCAACCAAUGGGACUAGCAUUCUUUGGAGAUGCUCCUUUUGUCUUGAAAGACAAGUACUGAGAAGAUAUCUGAAGGAGACAGAGAGUCUUGAUGUUGAUACGACUGGUAUAGAGUAUUUACAGAAGGUGGCAGGGAUUUCAAAUGAGACUGAUCCUAAGUCUCUAGUUUCAGAGUAUGACGAGUUAUGUGACUUGUGGGAUAAGUGGGACACUGCUCCGGAACCAGAGAAUGAAAAUGAGACCCCUGGGGGUGAGGGGGGAAAAGCUGAUUUGAAUCCUAUCAAAGAAGAAGGAAUGGAGGGUAGUCAGUCUAAAGCUUCACAAUCAAGAACCAAUGAUACCCCAUCACAGCCGAGAAAGAAAUCAAAAUUUGGAUUUUAAUAAUGUUUAUUUUAAUAAUGCAAAUAUUUAUAAUCACAUUUCAGAGUUAUUCAGAUACAGAAUGAUCACAAUGAAUGCACAAAAUUGAUUAUUUUUCUACAUGAAUAUGUACAUUAAUGUAUGUGUAAUUUUGUAUUUCAGUAUCAGUUUUCCUCAUCAGUA